AAUAUUGGACAAUUGGGGCAACCCUGAUCCAGCCAUGCCGCGUGUGUGAAGAAGGUCUUCGGAUUGUAAAGCACUCUAAGUUGGGAGGAAGGGCUUUAGGCUAAUACCCUGUAUUUAUGACGUUACCAACAAAAUAAGCACCGUCUCACUCCUUGCCAGCAGCCGCGGAAAGACAGAGGGUGCAAGCGUUAAUCGAAAUUACUGGGCGUAAAGCGCGCGUAGGUGGUUCAGUAAGAUGGGUGUGAAGUCCCCGGGCUUAACCUGGGAACUGCUUUCAUAACUGCUGAGCUAGAGUACGGUAGAGGGUAGUGGAAUUUCCUGUGUAGCGGUGAAAUGCGUAGAUAUAGGAAGGAACACCAGUGGCGAAGGCGACUACCUGGACUGAUACUGACACUGAGGUGCGAAAGCGUGGGGAGCAAACAGG
rnacentral:rRNA from 1 species